rnacentral:rRNA from 1 species
CCUACGGGUGGCAACAGUGAGGAAUAUUGGUCAAUGGACGGAAGUCUGAACCAGCCAUGCCGCGUGCAGGAAGACGGCUCUAUGAGUUGUAAACUGCUUUUGUACAAGGGUAAACCUGAAUACGUGUAUUCAGCUGAAAGUACUGUACGAAUAAGGAUCGGCUAACUCCGUGCCAGCAGCCGCGGUAAUACGGAGGAUCUAAGCGUUAUCCGGAUUUAUUGGGUUUAAGGGUGCGUAGGCGGAUUGAUAAGUUAGAGGUGAAAUGUCCGAGCUUAACUCGGGAACUGCCUCUAAUACUGUUGAUCUAGAGAGUAGAUGCGGUAGGCGGAAUGUAUGGUGUAGCGGUGAAAUGCUUAGAGAUCAUACAGAACACCGAUUGCGAAGGCAGCCUACCAAUCUAUAUCUGACGUUGAGGCACGAAAGCGUGGGUAUCAAACAGGAUUAGAUAUCCCAGUAGUC